GGGGGAGGGAGCUGUGAACCAUUGAGAGCAUCCUACGGAAAAACAACAACAGCUGAAGGAGAAGGACAGCCACACUCCAGGGAAUAGAAUGGCUGUACUGAGAAAAGCAGCAGUCUGUGAACAAAUGCUGCUGUUGAUCACUACUGAACAAAGGAAGGAGUCAGGACCAAGUGGAGCAGUAUGGGAGACCAGCUAGGGUGAUCAACAAGCCAAAG